GGGGGAAAAAGACGCGUCCCGGAUGGAAGCGAGAAGACUGACACAACAGCAGACUGACUGUUUUUCAGUUCUGAUUAGACUCUAGUGUUGAGAUGUCUGUCUGUCAUGAUAGCAUGUACUGAGUCAGGGCCAGUACUAGAUAAGCUCAUUAAACUAUAAUCCAUAAACGUAAGGUAACAACCGAGACCUAACGUUGCUGUGACAGCAACGUGAUUAAGUUUUAAGGUGUGAUUAAGUCUGAACAGGUUAGCCUACAAGCUAAAGUUACUUAGCACAGAUGAAAGUUAAAACAAAGACGUUUAGCAAACUGUUAAAGCACACAAACCAUCGUCACAUGAGAGAUCUGACGCUAUGACUCUCCACAAGUUGUCCUUCAGGUCGUUGUCUUUGUAAUAUUUGUCUUUUAUCAAAAAGCACUCUGUUCUCCGACAGGUAAACGAUCAGCCAGUCGGCCAUGUUGGAUAUACCAGUGAAUCUGACGUCACAACAACACGAAAUCUGAUUGGUCAGAAGUGGACACACAGUAUGCGAAACUUUAGAAAAUUCGACCAUGAUGAAAAAAUAAAUGCUGCAAUAUCGCAGGACGGGAAAACGUUGCUGAUGUGAACGCUUGUAUUGACAGGAUACGGGUUCGAAAAAAAAUAUUGACGUCCGAAAUAAUUGCAUGAAAAAAAUGCUCCUGGUGUGUAAGGACCUUAACACUGUCUUGCUUUUUUUCUGCCUCAGCCACUGAAUGUUGGCGGUGGAGGCCAAAAACAGAGCAAAAUACCAAAUAUAUAUACAGUAAAAGCAGCUUCCAAUCUGACCUGAAAGUUUCCAAACUGGAACUCCAGAGGAGUGUAAAUGUUUGGCAUUAACAGGGAGAUUACUGGAUGUUGCACUCUGGAUGAUCUUAGAAUAACUACACCUAAGGCUAUGUUCACACUGCAGGUCAAUUCCGAUUUUUUGACCAUAUGUGACACAUAUCUGAAUUUAAGUGUGAACAGUGCAAUUCCGUUUUUUUCAAAUCCGACCCAGGCCUCUUUUGUAUGUGGAUAUAAAUCAGAUGUAGCCGAUGUGACUGCAGUGUGGACGCUCAGGUCGUGUUCAUCCGACUUAUACGUCAUCAAUAUGCAACAAACGUCACCAUUGUUCGAAAACACAAACAGGCGAAAUUUGUGUGCAUGCGGGUCACUUCAUGGACGCAUUCCAUUCACAUUACAUGCCACAUUCAUUGUUGUAAUGUGAACAACCGCACAAAAAGAUCGGAUUUAACAAAAAAUCGGAAUUGUGCAUCAUAACCUGCAGUGUGAACGUAGCCAUAUUGACAGUGACAUUUUGUGCAUUCACUCCUGCAAGAUUACAGUGUUAUUCGAAAUUUUUGAAUCCUAAAAGUUGAAUUUAAUUGGUGUUUGGUAUUGGAAGAAGUCAAUACAAGAUCAUGAGAUCCAUCAGCUCUGGUAAAAACUACAAUAGUUCAAACAUUUACUCUUAAAAAUCUUUAUUCCUCCUGGUGAAAAGAUCACUGUCCUCCUAAAUGGCGCUCCCAGGGAGGGUUAUCCUUUAGUUCCACCUCCGCCUGCAUGUACCCCAACAUUGCAGCAAUCAGUAUAAAUUAAUAAUAGGCGAAUCAAAGUGCUUAAUUUAAUGGCGGCUAUGAAAGAUUAAUACUUGACAUUAUCCAAGCUGCUGUGCUGUAAGGAGACCCACCCAUGCCUGAGGUAAACCAAUCACACUUCUAUGAAUAUGACAUUAGACACGUUGAUGUGAUGUGUUACAUCAAUGUCAGGCCAAGACUUGAGUACAGCGAGUGCGGAUGGAAAGUCCACGGAGUGUGACUGGUCUAUUUCUGUCUCCCCUCCCUCCCUCUCUCCCCUCGCUCCUUUCUCACUGGGUCCAGAGGCGAGAGAUCAGUUCAGGGUGGAGGAGAGCUGGUGUUUGGCCUGAGGGGCCCUUGGACACAGAUUCUGUCAUUGUCCACAGCUGCCACUCAGCCCCCCCCCUCUCUGUGGCCAUCCUCACCUUAAGGGCGUCCCCCGCUACCCCGCCUCCCUAAUGAAGAGUGACACGCGUCCGGAGGAUCUGAUCUAGUCUGAAACGAGGGGCCCUUGCCUCCUCUGUUUUGUCUCCUAUUAUUGACUGUGCUGGCUCACACUGAGUCGCCGUGAUGAGAGCACAAAAUACCCAAGAGGCAUCGCUCCCAAAUCAGAGUGGGGGGCACAAAGGGCAGAUGUGAUUGUAUAGAACUGUGAGGACCUAAUUGUCUUUAUUCAUGAGCUGUGUGAUUGAUAUUAGAGGAAAAUGAGACACUCUAAUUGUCCUCUUAUAUGAGAAUUUUCAUACAGGCCCACACUCCGAUCAUGUGGCUGUGUGUGUGUGUGAUGCGCAUGCAUGCAGCUGUGGGCGUGUGCGUGCACGACCGGGUGAGAUAUCAAAGUGACAACUCCUAAAGGGCAUCUAUGCAGCGUUCUGUAGACAUAUCACUUGAAAUAAUAAUCUUGUUGUUCUUUCUGACAGCCUCUUGCCUUUAUUUUAUCGCUGAAUUCAGACAUAAUCAGGAGGAAAUGGAUACUCGACCUCCUGGUGGAAAAAAAGACACCUUUUGGACGGUCUUCAGGCAAGAUACAGUCUUAAAAUCUUUAUUCUUUUACUGCAUCUCAUAAGGUUUUUCAUCCAUGGUACCUGCCCACAACGCCAAAACUCCUGCUGAAUGAUUUUCAGUCUACAGAUGGGCUAAAUGUUGCUGUUAAAGCAACUAGGGCAUCAAUAAGACCUCAGCAGAGUAUUUCUGAUUGGCAAAGCAGAGCUCCAACCAAGUAUUGAGAGUAUAAAUGAAAAUACUUUCUAGAAAUUGAAUGUUUUUGUAUAUAAAAGCCAAUAUUCAAGUCAUACUGGAUACUAAAUUCCCAUGAGCUAUGAGCCACUAUUAUCAAAAAUUACGACAAAGGACUAAACUUGGACUAAACUACGAUAAAAUAGAUCUGUGAUAUUCUAAUUUGUUCAGGUGCAGUCUUCAUUUUUCCCAUCAUCCCUUAAAGUUGUUGAAUUCCUCCUGUCUCGCUCCGUCUGAAGGCGUCAUAUAUCCUCUGAGGUUUUAUGAUGUUUGCACACGGAGAAAUAUUGACACCGAACUCCCCCUCUCUUCCAACGUUGGGGCAGUCCAUCAAAGUUUGAAUAAAUACUCUUUAGAAAUCCCCAGUAGACCUUCAAAAUAAAGUUCAGAGGGGUUUCUGUAUUAGGAUAAUUGACCAUUUUUAGUAUUUACCACACUUAAAUCAGCUUUUCAGUUUCUUUCAGGAGGUUUUAAAGUGAAAAAGUAAGAAAUACAAAGAUUUUUUGAAACAAUGGCGACCUAGAGUAAUGGAGUUAAUAAUGGAGGCAAUAAUUGUCACCCACUAAAGACAUGAUGAAAGCUCUUGUGAGAAGUUUUUUUGACAUUUAUCUAACAGACUGAGUUCAUUUUGUUGUCCUUUUAUGACACGACCAUCAGAAACAAGACUGUUGAUUUUCAUAUCAUAAUUUUUAAUCACAGAAACAAGUGCAAGAAACAAGAGUUAAGUGUCAGUGAAGAUGUCGAAGUCAAAUUACCUUAACUUUAUUUUCCGUUUCAAAUAUUUAACAAAAAAUGAUACAUUUGACUGUCAAAAAUUACUUUAACCUACUUAAGUUAACUCAGCAUGGAGAAGACGAGAUAGGUAAUUACUGCUUUGUCCACAGGGGGUGCCAAAGUUGACUCAAACCAAAAGGGGAUUUAAAGAGCUGUAAUUGUGGUUCAUGCAACAUUUCCUGCUUUGGCAUAAACUUGCGAUCCUGUUAAGCUGUAAUGUUAUAAAAAUGUUCUGGUAUCCAGGCUCCCACUGAUCACAAGUUUAUUUUAUCCAGAAAGGAAAGAUGUCAUAUGUUCUGUUAAUUUAGUUUUCUCCUGGUUUUAUUUGAGUGCAUUUUGUGUAUUAUCCCUUGUGUUUCUCUUCCCUAUUGUUACUGUCGUCUAGUCUUGUGAGUUUUCAGUUUGUGUUUGACCCUGUUCCCUCAUGUUCUCAGUGUUUUAUUCUUUAGAUCAGUUUUCAGUGUUUAUUUCCUCUUUUAUUUUGUAGUAGUUGAUUCCUUGUGUUUCUAGUCUGGUUUUACUUCCUCAGUUUGCCCUCCUUCGUUAGUCACCCAUGAGUUUCACCUGUGCCUCGUUAGCCUCACCUGUUGCUCGUUACCCAGUGUGUAAACGAAUUAUCUGUGAUGUGCAAUAUCAUGUGCAAUAUAUCUUAUUUAUCCCACUGACUUAUCCCCCUUUGCAUACGUUUACACUCUGACUGCAUUGCUUGUGCACUUUGUAAAUCGUUCAUUUAUACUUUUUGUAUUUUUAUUCUGUUGUAUUGUUCUUUGUAUUCAAUUGUGUGUUAUUUGUACUUCUUUCGGUCGAGCGGUUCUUCUCAUCCAGGGCGUUUCAUUGCAUUGUUGACUAUGUUUAACCUGCAUAUGACAAAUAAACUAAUCUUGAAUCUCAUGUAUAUAGUCCCUGUCUUCCCCUUUGCCCUUGUUGGUUUAUUGUGUGUGCGUUUGUCGGUCAGUGAGUGUCUCUCAUAGUCGUUGUUGUAUCCCUCAUCUCCUUGUGUUUUUUUCCCCCCAGGAUUUUGCCUUUGGAUCUUUUAGUUGGACGUUUUUAAAGAAAGUUUUUGUAGUUUUUCAUUUAGUUCUUUUUAAAUUAAUUAUUUGUUCUGCAUUUGGGUCUUUUUCUUUUGUUUAACCCUGGCUCAUGAUAAAAGAAACAUCCAACUCUGAGCCAAAUUCAUGCUCACUGCGUCCAUGGUGCUGCACGAGUUCAUAUGGGUCACCAUGAUAUGUAUAAUAAUGUCCAUGAAGGAUUCUUGUGUGGCACACAGAUGCAUGCGACCUCGCUCAUUGUACACACUAUAAACCUGCAUUAAGUGGAAAAUCUUCUUAUCUCUCCCAACAUCCUCCUUUCUGCCCCUGUUGCCUGUAUAUGUUAGUGUAUGUAGAUGAAUAGAGGUGCAUCUAACGGGUUGGGUUCUGGUCAUACUAAUAUUUUAAAGUAUGCAUAUGCAACUCUUGACCUUAAAAGGUCCCAAAUGGAAAAGCUUUGCGGUUAUGAUGACAUAACCGCAUAAGCCUCUCCUACAUGUUGGUGGCAGCACCCCCGAUAAUCAUUAGCCCAGCCCUCUAAGGCUGUGUCCAAAAUAGAACCCUAACCCCUAUAUAGGCGACUAUAUCGGGGUUAGUGCCAUUUUGAGGGGUGAGUGAUCAAUUCCAAUGCCCCAUAUAGACAACUUAAAAUUUCCCAUAGAGCAUUGCAAAAUGUAGUGACCAUCCGAUGGUCACUCACCGGUGGUGGGCAUCCCGUCAUGCAUUGCGUGAGACCAAGAAGAGACAGAACCCGAGCAAAUACGUUUUUUAUCUUCACUUCACUCGCGAGGGAUCCGUACAGUUUUCGAAAAACAAUUGUUUGCUGCGUCAUAUAGUCUUGUGCACAAUAUGUCGCAGCAAACAAUAUUCAGCAUGAAAAUAUAAGGCCUUUUAAAUAAAUUAUGAAUUUAUUGUUUUUUAUAUUUAUUUUUUUAUUUCACAAACAUCCUGGAAAAACAAAUACAUCUAUACAACAUCAUAAAAUUCAAGAAAUUUGAAAACAACAGCUGCAACUUCAGACGCGGCAGUCUGAGCAGUGACGUCAAAAUGGUGCGCCACGUAGUGUCCGAAACCUCCGGUGAUUGAGUUCACUACAUAGUCAGCUAUAUAGUGAAAACCCAUAUGGGGGUUAGGGUUCAGGGAUUGAGUGAUUCAUUUCGGACACAGCCGAAAACUUGCUUGCUUGCUGAGGCAGCGUCCGCCAUUUCUUCCCCUCGUAUACGCCGCUCUGGUACAGCAACCAUGUCGAAGCUAUGACAAACUGAAGGUUCUUACACACCAGCGAAUUUGCGUAGCGAAGCGAAAAAGCGAGACGAAAAUACGAAAAUAUUCGCCAGUCCGAAAAAUCGCUUUCGCUUAUACACACUGGGCGACCACUCUGUGGUACACACUCUCUCCCAUCGUUGCUUUUGGUGCCAGUGGUGGUGUGUGUCAUGUGAACUGCAGCCGCAUGGGUCUGUGACGUCAUCAACAACAUGACUUUUGAUUGGCCAGAGGUCUAGCAGGUCCAGAUAUUCGCCUGCAAAAUCUCCGAAAAAUUUGACACAAGAGCGAAAAAAUAAAAGACGCUUUUCGCCCCGCGGAAAAAUCACUGCAAGUUUGGAAGCUUGUAUUGACUUUAUGCUGUUUUAAUAAAAGGCGAAUAAAGGUGAAUAAUUCGCCUGGCGAAUUCGCGCCUGGUGUUUAAGGACCUUAAGACAGGAGUCUAUUUCUGCCUCCUUCAUCUAAAGAUUUGAGGACCCAGUGGAUUAAUUUUAUUUUUGAUGGAAAUGUACCCACAACGACCCCGAAAAUGUUUGUGUGCUAACCAUUUCACCACGGACUGUUUUACCAACGAGGGGCACUUCAAAUCAGGAUUCGCUAAGAAGCUGAAGAUAAAACCUGGAUCCGUACCGACUAUCUGUAUCAGGGACCCAACUUCAAACAUGGAAGCUUUAAGUUUGACCAUUUUACAGAAACACAGUGGUGUACACUCCAAAUAAGAAACCAAACCACAGUAUACGUUUCUGCACUUGUAGCUGAAUCUGCAGGCAGAGACAUGACUUAUCUCCACCAAUCACACCCCUGAAGCUAACCUGCAAACUCUUCACUGUAACAGUGUUAGGUCCAGUGUGACUCUGCCUGUCUAUCUACCUAACAACCAACCUAUACUCUCCGCCCAAGCGACCCAACAGAGUCAUGAUUGAAACUCACGUGGGAAAACACCUUAAAUUGCUCAGUUAAGUGUAAAUUAAUGUGUGUGUGUAUGUGGGCCACCGUGCACGCCUGCACACACCUCGCUGCAAAAUGAAGAUGAAAGCAAGGUGUGUAUGUUUAUGCAUCCAUGCAUGCGUGCAAAUGUGUGUGAAUGCAUGCAUGCACGUGUGUGUGUGUGUAUUUGUGAGUGUGCAUCCACCAGUGUAAUGUGAUAAGCUCCAGCAAAGCACAUACCUGAUGCCAUUAAAUGCAAUUUCCCCUGUGUGUCAGCACAGCCAUUUGUCAGCUGCUAACACUGCACGCUUUAUUAAAAACCUCAUCCGCUUCAAUUAACUGCGCCCGCAAAGCAGUUUAACUCCACUCUAAUCCUGUCAAGAUGUUUUAACAGGCCGUGCGUACUGUAGGUACAUCAUUUCAAACCCUGUUAGUGAGGGUUUUAUGAUUUUUUCAAGUCUUUUUUUAAAGUUGUGGUUCAGUUCCUGAGAGACUAGAGCAGAGUGAGUGUGCAGUUUUUUCUCCCGCUGUUGCUUUUUGGGUGUUUAAUGGAUUUCUAAACUAUAAUCCACCUCUAUGUAUCUUUUCACAGUGCUCUUGAGACUAAAUAUAAGGAGAUUAAAUGACAAAUGCUCAGGAAUAAGGCUUUAAGUUUGGUGCAAAGGCUUGCAACUAGAGGACGAGAUUGGGAGGGAGAAAAGGCACAAUACUUUUCUCAAAGGGAGUGAAGUUUUUUACAUCUAGGUCCAACGUACGAUAUACUGAAGUAGCAAUUCAUGUGCUUAAAGGGAUAUUCCCGCGUAAAAUUAAGUGGGUCAAACACACUGUAACAUCGAGUUAGACACCCCGUCGAGAGAUGAAUGUUGUCGACCGCUUGCUUCUCUAGUUAUACCAACUUUAGUAACGACUGCAGAUAGCAAUACAGAGAGCCACACGCUCAACAUCUUUUAACUUUGCCUGAUUUCUUUAGCAAAGAGACUAAACACAACUCACUGUCUCUCUUCCAGCAGCCGCUUGUUGUACGGAGACCUCCAGGUGAGUCCAUUGACUUCAGCGGGGUGACACAGCUCAAGGAACAACAUUGAUGAUCAUUACUUUAUCAUUUCCUUGAAGUAAUAAUCACCAUAUUAAUCACAAUGAUCAUAAAUGUUCUUCCUUGAGCUGCGUCACCCCGCUGCAGUGGAUGGACUUGCCCGGAGGUCUCCGUACAAACAAACGGCUGCUGGAAGAGAGUAGGUGGGUUGCAUUAAGUCUCUUUAGAAAUUAGGCAAAGCUUAAAGAUGUUUGGUGGCUAGUGCUAUGACUGGGACCCUAUAUGUACUGUUGAUGAAGUUAGGUGCUGUUCUGAGCAUUAUUUGUGGCUAUAGAGUGGCGUUUUGGUUGAGGUUUGUUUUUGGCUCCUGAGACCGCUGUGUAUUGCUAUCGUGCGGUCGUUACUAAAGUUGGUAUAACUAAAGAAGCAAGCGGUCGGCAACAUUCAUCUCUUGAGGGUGUUUAACUCAGUCUUACGGUGUGUUUGACCCUAUAUUAAUUUUACGCCGGAAUUCAACUUUUCAAAGCUCCUAUGAGGAACUUUUAGGAGUUCAUGGGAAAGACUUAUGGCUAACCAUCAGCAUCAAAACUGACAAUUUCUGACAAAAUCACAUUAAAAAAAAUGUGAUUUUUUUCAUGCAUAUGACCACUGUUAACUUUCAGUAGUAUACUAGUUUGUAAGUGCUAUUAAAACUACAACAGUACUUGUCUCCAAGUAAGGAACAAAUUUCCUUCAUACCAGCCCUGUCACCAAAAACUUUUCUUUUUUGAUUUUGCCAAACUCAGAAUUUUACUCUUUUGAUGCCAAAUGCCAAUGUUUGAAAAACUGGCAGAAUGAAUUUGUACAUCUCCAAGUUUGUUGAGACUAUUUGUCACCUUUGCUGUGAAACAUCACCCCUUUUAAAAGUUUGGAUUUCAGGCUCAGCAGCACGCUUUGGUACUUUUUACUUGUGCCAGGCCUCCGCAGAGAAGUGUCCCUGAUUGUUUUACAUGAAAACUUCAGUAUUCUGGUGAAGAGAUGAUGAGAGUCUGCUGUCAGCACCUUUGACCAAACCUGCCUGUUUGGUAAAGACAGUCAGCCUCAACGUGGUAUACAAAGGGAGCUGAUUAGGGGACUGAGGGGCAGGUAUGUGGGCAGGUGAGAAUGAGAAGAUUGGCAGGAAGAGGCUGCUGCUGCAGGAAGGUGAGAGAGCAAAGAGUCUGAAAUGACAGGAGGGGUUAGUGGCAGCAAAUAGACAUCAGACUGAAUAAUAAAAAAAGCUGAAAAAGGCAUUUAAAAACUGCAGAAUAGUCCUUUAAAGCUUCCUCUGCGAAAUUAAAUCUUUGCAAAAAGGCACAGAGUCAGAAGGACUGAAAAACUGCACCCCGCAAGGACAUCACACAUGCUCCUACGCUUUCUUUCCUUGAAAACACACACACAUGCACGCACGCACGCACGCACGCAAGCACGCACACACACACACACACACACACACACACACACACACACACACACACACACACAAAUCAUGCCAGCAGGGAGCUGAUGGUUAGCAUGGCUCUGUCACUGGGGAUCCAGGGUAGGGUUUGCAGGAAAGAGAAAGGUGUAAAUUGGGUGAGCGCUGGGUGCAAAGCCUUGAGAGUGAAGGUUUUUACUCUCCUUUUUGAUGCUUUGUCACUCACACACUUCCCCUGAGAUACAGGUGAGGAAGGGGCGCUGGAGGGGGAACUACUUGGUUCACUUUAUUUUUGUUUAAAUUGUAUCUGGAUUAUGACUCUUGUGAAAGAAAAUCACUAUUUUUACUCAUAUAACCUCUUGUUUCAAUAGUUUUCAUUUUUCUUUGUUUUUUUUUGUUUUGUUUUUUUAAUUUUAAUUUUUUUAAUUUUAAUUUUUUAAUUUUUUCUCCUUCACUUUAAAAUAUUUUUUAUUUUUUUAUUUUUUAAUUGCCUUUUAUUUUUAUUUUAAAAGUAUUUUUCUUUUUAUUUACUUUCCCUUUUUAAUUUUCCUUUCUUUGUUUUUUUUAUUGAUUUAUUUUUCAUUUUAUUUCAUUUCAUUGUUUGCUUUUUAAUUUUACUUAAAAAUAUUUUUCUUAUUUUUCUUUUUAUUUACUUCCACUUUUUAUUUUCAUCCUUCUUUGUUUUCAUAUAAUCUUCAUUUUUUUAUUUAUUUUAAUUUUGGAUGCUUAAUAAUAUAUAUUUUUUAAUUUAAUUUUAAUUAACACAUUUGUGUACUUGUUUGUAAGUUAUUUCUCAUUACUCUUUGUGUUUUGUGAAUAAAAUUUGAUAAUACUAAUCAUAAUAAUCUUCUACUCCCACUACUUAAAGUUCUUUGCCUCUUUUUUUGUCAGCUUGUCAAUGUCAAUGUCAGCUUUCUUAUAUAGCACAUUUAAAAACAGCCAGUGGUCUACCAAAGUGCUUUACAGUAAAAGAGCCAGAGACAAUAAAAAAACUAUAAAAACAAAAAAAGCAUGAAACAUAUAAAAACAUAAAACAACAAUAUAGAUAAAUACAGCAAAUAAAUAAAAUACCCAAUAAAAGUAGCUAUACUUCCCCAAAAGCUAAAGUGAACAGGUGCGUCUUUAAAAGUGGAAAGGCUGUUAGCAGUGCGCACUGUCAGGGGUAAAGCAUUCCACAAAGUGGGAGCCAUGAUGGAAAAUGCUCAAUCGACCCCAGGUUUUAAAAAGGAUCAAGGAACGUCGAAAACCACCUGAUUUUUGUCUUCUAUUUAUAAAUUCCACUGUUGGAGCUGCAGAGCAGACAACGCCAUAGAAGAUAGAAAAAGAGUGUACAAAUCCAGGAGAAGGUGGGAUUGUGACGGCGUUGACCACGGGUAAACAGGUUUCUCACAUAAUUUCAUAUCUUUCAGCUUGAUGCUGAUGAAAUUUGAAAGUGUAAUCAGCGAAACGAAAGCUAACGGCGAGCAGGUGUGACUUGCCUUUGAUCAUAACGGAGACCAAUUGCAAUUAGACCCAAAAUGGCUGGACGGCGGUAUCAGGGGGCUGCUUGCAGAUUAUGUAUUUUUAAUCAGAGUUGUUAGCAUCUGUGAUGGAUGCCCGUUUUACUCACACCAGCCCCUGAUGGCAUACGUCAUGUUUGCUAGCUGUGAAUUAUCACCGUGUGAAUGCUGUCCAUUAACUGCAUGAGGAAACGCACAUCCCCCAUUGUGUUGUCCUACCUCUACUGAUGCAGACUUACUUUGGUUUGUCUCUGAACCAGCUCAACAGCACAGAUGAAAAUACGAACAACCAGAGAAAUUCUGUAAUUUUUUUAAUGAACCUAUUUCACACCCUGAGAGUUGGACUAUCCUCUCCAACAUGAAGGGUCUCACAUACUCCAUCAGCUUGAGGGGGUUGUGAGUUUUGGAGAUGCUAUCCGGCCCCUGACUGUCAUAUCUCCCCUUUGGAUUUAUGAUCAGCAAAAACACACCCACUCCGUCUUUAUUCCUCCAACACUGGCGGCAGCGGCAAUAACGUUAAAGCUUAUCGAUAUUACAGUCUUUAAUAAUUUUGCCACAGGGUCCGCUUAAUACCAGGUUUUGAGACCCAUCCCUGUUAUUGAUUACCUUUAAGCUCCUCAUGGCUCCUCGCUGUUUCACACCACAGGCCUUGUGUCUGUAUGUCUGUCUGCAAAAUACCGGCUUAUGAACCAAGAUGAAGACAAAAUGGCUCGGCUUAACUCUGUUUACUUUGCCGUUUUAGAGGAUAAAGUUUAAAGAUACUGAUAUCUACUUACAGAUUUGUUAAAAAAAUUGAUCGAAGGCUGUCCCGCUGUGAAGGACUCUCAAACUGCUAAGUUGCUGACUGUUAACUUGACUCAGUGUGUUUGGCUUCAGCGUUUUCCUGCAACUUAAAAAGGUCCUUACACACUGGGAAGGACGCAAAUAUACAACGUCCAAUUUUGGACGAUCCAAUUUUGCGACUUUCCGGGGGGAAAAAAGACGCGUCCUGGGUGGAAGCAAAAGACUGACACAACAGCAGAAUGACUGUUUUUCAGUUCUGAUUAGACAUUAGUGUUGAGAUGUCUGUCUGUCAUGAUAGCAUGUACUGACUCGGGGCCAGUACCAGAUAAGCACAUUAAACUAUAAUCCAUAAACGUAAGGUAACAACUGAGACCUAAUGGUGCUGUGACAGCAACACGAUUGAGUUUGAGACAGUGAAAAUACAUAUGGUAUGUUGUAUCUGAACAGGUUAGCUUACAAGCUAAAGUUACUUAGCACAGAUGAAAGUUAAAACAAAGACGUUUAGCAAACUGUUAAAGCACACAAACCAUCGUCAUAUGAGAAAUCCAACGCUAUGACUCUCCACAAGUUGUCCUUCAGGUCGUUAUCUUUGUAAUGUUUGUGUCUUUUAUCAAAAAGCACUCUGUUCUCUGACACGUAAACAAGCAGCCAGUCGGCCAUGUUGGAUAUACCGGUGAAUCUGA
rnacentral:lncRNA from 1 species